rnacentral:misc_RNA from 1 species
UUUCCGUAGGUGAACCUGCGGAGGGAUCAUUAACACGUUCCAACCCUAUCAACCAACCUGUGAACUUUGUAUCUGCCUCAGCUUCGUCUAUUGGCAACAAUAGGCGCGACAACUUGGGCUUGGCUGCCUGUAGUACGCGGAGUCUCGAUGGUGGGUGUGAGAGUGGACUCUUCUAUUCUCCACUCGACUCCAGUGUAUCGUGAGAAGUCGCUUAGAGCUUCUUAGCAGCGCCAUGCCCCCAAGGAGGCCCCAACCUAAUGGAUCCAACAGCUGACCAUCAGUUGUUUGCUCUGUUAAAUGUGCCCCGACAUGUUGAACGGCUGCAUUGGGCUUCGGCUCAAGCGAACCGACAAAACACAAUUUAAUCAAGUUCUAUCUGCCACUGACCUGUGUCUGAUCGUUUAGCUACUAAUACUAGCUACUCGCAUCUCUGACUGCAGUGAGUAGUAACCAACCAAAACUAACAGAGUUAAUACAACUCUUAGCAAUGGAUAUCUUGGUUCUC